CCUAAAAUCUCUAAAUCCUCCGAAUGCCCAAACUCACGCACCUAUGUUUCCUUGUGUAGAAGGACUUGGUGUUCCAACUUCCUAAUCAACCAACUCACUCGCGGAAUCAAGUAGAAGACUUGCAAAACCGUGAGUAUACUCGCAACCCCCUUUUUAUGUUUACCACUUUUUGGGGUGUUGAUGAUGACGAUGCUAUGAAAAGAAGUAGCGUUGAUGCCUAG
rnacentral:lncRNA from 1 species